AAAUGUCAUUAAAAGUUGGGAUCUUUUCUUCUUUGUAGCAAUUUUGUUUAUCUUAAUGUCAAGAAAGUCAUGCAGUAUGUUAAAUCCAUAUCAACGUUAUAACAAAACAGGCCUUACUUGGUAAACUAACAGUUUUAGGCCUACAUCAUCAUCAUGAGAUUGACUUGUUGACAUCGUACUUAAAGUUGAUCAAGAUUCAUUUCGUGCAUAUUGUUACCGGCCGCUGAGUUUUUAAAAUUAACAACUUAUCUGUUUGGUCAUAUCGAUUUCUUUCAUAAUUUCCCUUUCGUUCGUUAAUACAAUUAUCGUUAUGUGUUUUGUUUUGUUUCUUUUUUUUUGUCAAAAGUGGGGGGCUCUUUUAAUUUUGUCAAAUGCAUGCGUCAUUUUUAGGGACUCAUGGUUCUCAAUUUC
rnacentral:lncRNA from 1 species